rnacentral:rRNA from 1 species
GAAUAUGGCCAUGUUGAAUGCACUUGUUCUCAUCUGAUCACCGAAGUUAAGCAACGUCGAACCUAGUGAGUACUUAGAUGGGUGACUGCUUGGGAAACCUAAGUGCUGUGAGCA